rnacentral:tRNA from 1 species
GCUGGUGGUUCCGUGGUAGAAUUCUCACCUUCCAUGCCAGAGACUCAGGUUCGAUUCCUGGCCAAUGCA